rnacentral:rRNA from 1 species
GACGUAGGGCGCGAGCGUUGUCCGGAUUUAUUGGGCGUAAAGAGCUCGUAGGCGGCUUGUCGCGUCGUCCGUGAAAACUUGGGGCUCAACCCCAAGCUUGCGGUCGAUACGGGCAGGCUCGAGUUCGGUAGGGGAGACUGGAAUUCCUGGUGUAGCGGUGAAAUGCGUAGAUAUCCGGAGGAACACCGGUGGCGAAGGCGGCUUCCUGGACCGACACUGACGCUGAGGCGCGAAAGCUAGGGGAGCGAACGGG